GUCCUGAGAUGGACUCCAGGCUCUUCUGUGUGGCCUUGAGUCUCCUGUGUGCAAAACACAUGGAGGCUGCAGUCACCCAAGACCCAAGAAGCAAGGUGACAGUAACAGGAGGACAAGUGACAUUAAACUGUCAACAGAAUGACAAUCAUGAUUACAUGUACUGGUAUCGGCAGGACCCGGGUCAUGGACUGAAGCUGAUCCAUUACUCAUAUGGUGUUAACAACACUGAGAAAGGAGAUAUCACUGAUGGGUACAAAGUGACCAGACCAAACCAAGAGAACUUCUCCCUCAUUCUGGAGAUGACUUCCCCCUCUCAGACAGCUGUGUACUUCUGUGCCAGCAGUGAUGCACAGCAAUGUGUGGCUGUCUCCCCUCUGCACAUAAAGUAAGUUAGGAAGACAAGAAGCAAGAAGCCUGUUUGUCCCAGGAAGUCCCUGCCUCUGUAAGAGUCACUGAGCUCUGACAAGCUGGGAAUGCUUCAGCAUGGCUGCUUGUCUCAAAUCUACCCCUUGUUUCUGCUUGCAGAGAGGAACCUGAACUCUUAAUUGAAGCCCUGAUGACUCUUUUGAUAAGCUUACAGCCACUAUCUCCCUCCCUGUGGACUUCAAGUUAACUUUUCAACCACUUUACUAUCCACCUGAGUCACUUCUAUGAUCUCUUUCCAGACAGUGUUUACUCUAUAGGCCAGUAGCCCCAUUUUUCUACAGGACAGUAGCCCAUAAGGUCCUAUGUCAUUUUCUUCACUCAUCUCUAUCAUCAGCCUUUACCCAGCCUUCCCUGUUCUUUCCUCUACAGCUGAACUUGUCUACAUUCCAUUACUUCCUCAUAUGUGUUGUGCUGUUUUCACCUCUGGAGAUAUUUCCUAGGACACUUCUUCUGCCCUGAAGACACACCUUUCCCUCUUGCUCUGGAUUUCUAUUUCCCAUGAAAAUCUCUUUCAAGUAGGAUCAUUUUUCUUUUCCUUUUCUAAGGUUUUAAUUUAGUUACAAUAUUUCUUCCCUUACUUCUUCUAACUCCUCACAUGAUUCUCUCCCCUUUCAGACUCAUUGUCUCUUAUUCUUUAAUCAUUGUUAUUUUUGGUUUGUUGUUUUUGGUGUUUGGUAUGAAUACAUAAAUAAAUUAAGCAUGUUGAGUUUAUUUAGGGGACUCAUCUUGGGGAAGACUAACUCCCCUUUUCUUAUCUUUAAUUUCCAGAAGAAAAAACAAAGCUGGAGGAAUAACUAUGCCAUAUCUUAAGACCUUUUACUCUUUUUCUAUAUCUUCAUGCAUUUCCUUUUUCCAUAUCUUGAUGAAUUUACAAAUAGAAGCAUCAUAUUCUCUUGUUGUAAUAUGUCAGUAACUUGGCUCAGUGGCUGGUAAUUGGGUAGAUGACUUCAGCAAGCUGCUCAUGCCACACCAUGUUCUAUGGACUGGGCAAUAAAACUGUGUCAGCAUUGAGUUUGGAGAUUCCUGUCAUAGUCACUUUUCUGGCCUGAGAAAAUAAAGGAAGAAGGUGUGGUUUA